rnacentral:rRNA from 1 species
CCUACGGGCGGCAGCAGUGAGGAAUAUUGGUCAAUGGUCGGGAGACUGAACCAGCCAAGCCGCGUGAGGGAGGAAGGUACAGAGUAUCGUAAACCUCUUUUGUCAGGGAACAAAGACUGGGACGCGUCCCCGGAUGAGUGUACCUGAAGAAAAAGCAUCGGCUAACUCCGUGCCAACAGCCGCGGUAAUACGGAGGAUACGAGCGUUAUCCGGGUUUAUUGGGUUUAAAGGGUGCGCAGGCGGGUCUGUAAGUCAGCGGUGAAAGCUUCGGGGCCAACCCCGGGCCCGCCGUUGAAACUGGCAGUCUGGAGUAGGGGAGAGGUAUGCGGAAUGCGUGGUGUAGCGGUGAAAUGCAUAGAUAUCACGCAGAACUCCGAUGGCGAAGGCAGCAUGCCGGCUCCACACUGACGCUGAGGCACGAAAGCGUGGGUAUCGAACAGGAUUAGAUACCCGUGUAGUC